rnacentral:rRNA from 1 species
UACAGAGGUGACAAACGUUGUCCGGAAUUAUUGGGCGUAAAGGGCGCGUAGGUGGUUGAGUAAGUCAGGUGUGAAAGCUCUGGGCUUAACCCAGGAAUUGCAUCUGAUACUGCUCGGCUUGAGUACGGUAGAGGAGGGUGGAAUUCCCAGUGUAGCGGUGAAAUGCGUAGAUAUUGGGAGGAACACCGGUAGCGAAGGCGGCCCUCUGGACCGAAACUGACACUGAAGCGCGAAAGCUAGGGGAGCAAACGGG